CGCGGGGGGCCCUGGGCAGGUGAGGCAAGAAUUCCUAGUAACCGCUUGUUUGGCGUGGACUUCCCUAGGGAGGGGAGAAGGGGAUCAUUCUGGUUUCCUCUGUGGCAGCAGGGGAAACUGAAGCGAAGAACUGUUCCCUCUCCCACGUUUAUCCAAUUCAAGCAACAGUUGCUGUCAUGGGAGGAACUCGGGCUUCCCAUUCCAGGCCGCGCUCUGCACGUGCUGCCCCUCGCUUCGAUGCUCUUCCAGAGGGACCAUGGAGUGGUUGAGAGCUUGGACUCCGGAUCCGGGCAGUCUGGGUUCCAGUCCCAGCUGGAGAUGAAGGAGAAGGGCAUCCCAGCAGGGGAAUCGCAGUGCAAAGGCACUGAGGGGCUUGAGCGUGGCUCCAG
rnacentral:lncRNA from 1 species